UGUCUUUGUGAAUAAUCUUGGUAGAAAUAAUGGCCUCUCUUUCAUGAUAUUCUUGCACAUGUGAAACUAAUAAUAGAUUGCGAACCCAGAGGGAAAACUGUUUUGGCCCUGAACUACGGCCAAGCAGACUACAAAGCUAUUGUUAAGGACACUGCCCUUAGUAGGAACCGGAUUGCUCUCUCUUUCUCCCCCCUCCCCGCCCUUCCCUCCCUCUUGCUCUCUUUCCCCAACUCCCUAGCCCUCAAGUCUAAACGUCAUAACAGUAUUUCAAGAAGCUAAUAUACUACCAUUGUUUUUCUGGCCCCCUUCAAACCUCACAGCCUGAAGAAUGUAUCUUCCUAAAGUUCGGGGGAUUGCUGAAAGAACAGAGGUGGGACAAGUUCAAGGCCAGAUGUCAAGACUUGUGACUGAUGACGAGUCCUGGUUAUCUUGCAUGACCUACGCAUGUGGGCAUGGCUUUUGGUUCACCAUCUGCUGAAUGGGACAAUAGCCUGCUCCCUUCCUGAUGGCGUGAGAAUCAAUUGGCUUAACAACCGCCACUUCAUUUCUGAAAACCCGUAUCAUGUGAACUCCUCCAUAGGAAAGUCUUCCCCCAAUGUCUGAUAUUAUUUCUUCUUUAUCAUCGGCCUGGCCUGUGUGGCUGAGUGGCUCAAGUAGACACAGGUUCUCGCAGCUGAGACGGACCUGGUUCGGUUUCUUUACACAUCUUUGCAUCUAGUUAGGUUGCUUGUGGGGUCAGUGGACCAGUGGAUCAGAGAGUGUCUUUUUAAUGGACUCCAGGGGAAGGUAAAUAGGUGUGACCUUUCUGGAGGGUGAUUUGGUGAAAUGUAACAAAAGCUUUUACUUAGCUACUACAUUUAUAACACUUUACAGUAAAGAGACGUUUUGAUACGGUAUGUAUAGCAUGUGUAGGAUGUUGACAACACCAAGAGUAGGAAAACAACCAAGUGUCCAAACAUCCGAAAUGCACAGUAAACACGUGUGAGAACUGCUUGCAAUGCAUCAUCCAUCACAAUAAUGGUCUGUAUUUACUCAACAACAUUGAGCACCUACUGUGUGAGGGGCAAUGUUUGUGAUGCCAGGGUUACACCAGUGCAGUGGUUAAUUUCAUGUCAGGUUGACUCCCCCCGGGGAGCCCAGA